rnacentral:misc_RNA from 1 species
GUGAAUCAUCGAAUCUUUGAACGCAAAUUGCACUCUCUUCGGAUAGUAUGCCUGUGUGAGGGUCAGCCUAAAAAUAAUCAACAUAGUUGCUGUUACCCGGUAACAUUCGUCGCAAAUUGGGUCAUGCUAAACCUUUGGGCUUAAGCGUCUCAAAAUUUUCUUUACGAUUCCAAGAACGCUUCUAAGAUUUCAUUUUCUUAUACGUUUAAGGUAUCGAUCUUUAUUUGACGUGGCCGUUGAUUCGGACCUCGUAC